GGCGCAGUAGCUGAGCGGUAAAGCGCUUGACUUCCGAACUGGGGGUCCCAGGUUCGAAUCCUGAUCGAGACU
rnacentral:tRNA from 1 species